CACCAAAUGGAACCUCGUGCAUAACUAAGUUUAAGUGAAUAAACUCACUCUUUAGUAUAAACUUUGAUCGCCCGUAUCAUUGAACUGCACGUUUUCUGUGGCACAGAUUGCAAAAGCAUGUUUCUGAAAGGUGAAUCGGAGGACACAACUUCGGAGUGUGCAAACAGGCGGAGAGUCAAAGUAGAGGACCUAGUACACGUGUCGUCAAACGGGUGUUGGGCUGGUUUCCGUGGGCAGGGGGAGAGCAGGUGGAACGUGGAACACGUUCCACUGGGAGUUCUCCUCUUCCACCUGUGGAACAUCUGUCUUCCGCGGGACGGAGAAGACGACACAAGGAAUUCCCACUUUCACUUGGAGGAAGUGAGGGAUCAUUUGUAAGGUGUGUGUAACAGAGACAGAACACCGGGGG